CAGAGUCUUCGAUGCUUCAUCCAUCUGCAGGCCAGGAGAUUCCUCAAAAGCAGUUCAAGACAGUCUUCCUGAGGAGAGCUAGCUGCUGCGCAGUGCAAUCACACUCUCUUCURUUGAGUGAACGACAGAUACAUAUGCAACUUUAUAAUAAAGGAACUARAGAGAAUGUUGCACCUGGGAUUCACAGAGGAAUCUGCCAGCUCAGACUGUUUGGCAGAGUUACCUGUGUGUGGCUCCUCUCGGACUUUCUCCAGGGCCCUUUCUGCUGAAACAGAGCUGAAGAAGUUCAGGAUGAGGCAGAAUCUUUUUCAGGUCACUU
rnacentral:lncRNA from 1 species